rnacentral:rRNA from 1 species
GAUGAACGCUGGCGGCGUGCCUAAUACAUGCAAGUCGAGCGAACGGACGAGAAGCUUGCUUUUCUGAUGUUAGCGGCGGACGGGUGAGUAACACGUGGAUAACCUACCUAUAAGACUGGGAUAACUUCGGGAAACCGGAGCUAAUACCGGAUAAUAUUUUGAACCGCAUGGUUCAAAAGUGAAAGACGGUCUUGCUGUCACUUAUAGAUGGAUCCGCGCUGCAUUAGCUAGUUGGUAAGGUAACGGCUUACCAAGGCAACGAUGCAUAGCCGACCUGAGAGGGUGAUCGGCCACACUGGAACUGAGACACGGGCCCGACUCCUACGGGAGGCAGCAGUAGGGAAUCUUCCGCGAUGGGCGAAAGCCUGACGGAGCAACGCCGCGUGAUUGAUGAAGGUCUUCGGAUCGUAAAACUCUGUUAUUAGGGAAGAACAUAUGUGUAAGUAACUGUGCACAUCUUGACGGUACCUAAACAGAAAGCCACGGCUAACUACGUG